rnacentral:rRNA from 1 species
CUUGGUCAUUUAGAGGAAGUAAAAUUUAACAAGGUUUCCGAUUGGUGAACCAGCGGAGGGAUCAUUACAGAGUUGCAAAACUCCCAACCAUUGUGAACCUUACCUCACCGUUGCUUCGGCGGGUGGCUCGGGGCAACCCGCGCCGCGCCGGCUCCCUCGGGGGGCUGGCAAACCCGUCAGAAGACCGAAACUCUGAACCAUUUAGGCCUCUCUGAGUAACUUAUACAAUAAGUCAAAACUUUCAACAACGGAUCUCUUGGUUCUGGCAUCGAUGAAGACGCAGCGAAAUGCGAUACGUAAUGUGAAUUGCAGAUUUCAGUGAAUCAUCGAAUCUUUGACGCACAUUGCGCCCGCUAGUAUUCUGGCGGGCAUGCCUGUUCGAGCGUCAUUCAACCAUCCAGCGCCUGCGCUUGUGUUGGAGCCCUGCGGCUGCCGCACGCUCCCAAACCCAGUGGCGGGCUCGUCGUCGUACCGAGUGCAGUAAAUUUACCACGCUCAGGGCACGCGACUGGUGACCGGCCGUAAAACCCCCCCCUUCUGAAGGUUGAACUCCGAUCAAGUAAGAAUA